rnacentral:snRNA from 1 species
UUGAUCGCUUUGGCAGCACAUCUACUAAAACUGGAAUGAUACAGAGAUUAGCAUGGCCCCUGCGCAAGGAUGACAUGCAAACUUGUGAAGUGUUCCAUAUUUAU